UGCCCCAUCCCCAGCGUCCCACUCCCACCCAGGCCCAGCUCCCCCAACUCCCAACCCAAGCCCAAUCCCAAUCAAUUACCCAAGUCAGACUCAGUUAAUACCCAACCCAAGACCCAAGUCGAGAACCAAAUUAGGCAUUCUCAUCAAAGUAGGGCAUUAGCCAUUAGGGCUUGCUUACUGCUUCAGACUUCAGUGCUUAGGACUGUAGGAGAUAUCAUCGAGAAGAAGAAGACGAGAAUCGACUGCGAGUCUAGGAUAUCACUUAUCAGUCUGCGAGUCUAGACGAGAAUCGACUGCUUAGGAUAUCAGUCUACGUCUCUACGAGUUACGACCAGUCGACAUUCGAGCUCAAGUCUCAUCUCAUCUUCACCGAUUAACUUCACUACUUUUGUAAGUUUUGUAAGUCUCAUCUCAUUCUCAUGAUCUCAUCCCAGUAAUCGACUACUCUCUGAGGUUUUUUUGAGUUUUUAUAUUUUUAAGUUUUGAACUUUUUGAGUUCAGAGUUCAGACGCAUAAAUUUUUUAAUUUCUGAUUUUCUGCAUCAAACUAAUUUAGGGUUAUAGGCGGCGAUUUCCAGCUCGAUUCGAUUCCUCACUCCUCACAAAUUCCGGGCAAACGAAGUGUCGAAGACGCUGCUGUCUUGUUCCAGUGUUCCGAGCUCGAUUCAAUUUCAAUUU
rnacentral:lncRNA from 1 species